AAUCGAAGCAGUGAACUUAAGCCCCAGUAAACGGCGGCCGUAACUAUAACGGUCCUAAGGUAGCGAAAUUCCUUGUCGGGUAAGUUCCGACCCGCACGAAAGGCGUAACGAUUUGGGCACUGUCUCAACAACAGACUCGGUGAAAUUGUAAUUCCGGUGAAGAUGCCGGAUACCUGCGACAGGACGGAAAGACCCCAUGGAGCUUUACUGUAGCUUGACAUUGGGUCUUGGUACUACAUGUACAGGAUAGGUGGGAGGCUUUGAAACCAGGACGCCAGUUUUGGCGGAGCCAUCCUUGGGAUACCACCCUUGUAGUACUGGGACUCUAACCAUAGGCCAUGAAUCUGGUCUUGGGACACUGUCAGGUGGGCAGUUUGACUGGGGCGGUCGCCUCCCAAAAGGUAACGGAGGCGCUCAAAGGUUCUCUCAGUACGGUCGGAAAUCGUACGUAGAGUGUAAAGGCAAAAGAGAGCUUGAUUGCAAGACAUACAGGUCGAGCAAGGAUGAAAAUCGGACUUAGUGAUCCGGUGGUUCUGCGUGGAAGGGCCAUCGCUCAACGGAUAAAAGCUACCCUGGGGAUAACAGGCUUAUCUCCCCCAAGAGUCCACAUCGACGGGGA
rnacentral:rRNA from 1 species